rnacentral:rRNA from 1 species
AAUACUUUGGUGGCGCCGGCGCACGGGUGCGUAACGCGUAUGCAACCUACCUUUAACAGGGGCAUAACACUGAGAAAUUGGUACUAAUUCCCCAUAACAUUCGAGAAGGCAUCUUCUUGGGUUAAAAACUCCGGUGGUUAAAGAUGGGCAUGCGUUGUAUUAGCUAGUUGGUGAGGUAACGGCUCACCAAGGCAACGAUACAUAGGGGGACUGAGAGGUUAACCCCCCACAUUGGUACUGAGACACGGACCAA